rnacentral:rRNA from 1 species
UACGGGAAGGCAGCAGUGGGGAAUAUUGCACAAUGGGCGCAAGCCUGAUGCAGCCAUGCCGCGUGUAUGAAGAAGGCCUUCGGGUUGUAAAGUACUUUCAGUCGUGAGGAAGGUGUUAAGGUUAAUAACCUUAGCAAUUGACGUUAGCGACAGAAGAAGCACCGGCUAACUCCGUGCCAGCAGCCGCGGUAAUACGGAGGGUGCGAGCGUUAAUCGGAAUUACUGGGCGUAAAGGGCACGCAGGCGGUUAAUUAAGUUGGAUGUGAAAUCCCCGGGCUUAACCUGGGAAUGGCAUUCAAGACUGGUUAGCUAGAGUCUUGUAGAGGGGGUUAGAAUUCCAUGUGUAGCGGUGAAAUGCGUAGAGAUGUGGAGGAAUACCGGUGGCGAAGGCGGCCCCUGGACAAAGACUGACGCUCAUGUGCGAAAGCGUGGGGAGCAAAC